rnacentral:rRNA from 1 species
UACAGAGACUGCAAGCGUUAUUCGGAUUCACUGGGCGUAAAGGGUGCGCAGGCGGCCGUGUGUGUGAGGUGUGAAAGCCUGGGGCUUAACCCCAGAAAUGCGCCUCAAACUACAUGGCUAGAGCAUUGGAGAGGGUAGCAGAAUUCAUGGUGUAGCAGUGAAAUGCGUAGAUAUCAUGAGGAAUGCCAGAGGCGAAGGCGGCUACCUGGACAAUUGCUGACGCUCAGGCACAAAAGCGUGGGGAGCAAAAGGG